AACGAACGCUGGCGGCAGGCCUAACACAUGCAAGUCGAGCGAGGACUUCGGUUCUAGCGGCGGACGGGUGAGUAACGCGUGGGAAUGUGCCCUUCUCUACGGAAUAGCCCUGGGAAACUGGGAGUAAUACCGUAUACGCCCUAUUGGGGAAAGAUUUAUCGGAGAAGGAUCAGCCCGCGUUGGAUUAGGUAGUUGGUGGGGUAAUGGCCUACCAAGCCGACGAUCCAUAGCUGGUUUGAGAGGAUGAUCAGCCACACUGGGACUGAGACACGGCCCAGACUCCUACGGGAGGCAGCAGUGGGGAAUCUUAGACAAUGGGGGCAACCCUGAUCUAGCCAUGCCGCGAGAGUGAUGAAGGCCUUAGGGUUGUAAAGCUCUUUCAGCUGGGAAGAUAAUGACGGUACCAGCAGAAGAAGCCCCGGCUAACUCCGUG
rnacentral:rRNA from 1 species